UUCAGAGAUUGCCUAUGUCGUUACCCAUGUAAGUGGAUACGGGAAUGCAAUUGUUAA
rnacentral:ncRNA from 1 species